UACGGAGGAAGCAAGCGUUACCCGGAAUAACUGGGCGUAAAGAGUUGCGUAGGUGGUCUUUUAAGUCAGGUGUGAAAUCGUGUGGCUCAACCAUACGGCUAUACCUGAAACUGAGAGACUUGAGCAUGAUAGGGGAAACUGGAAUUCCUAGUGUAGGAGUGAAAUCCGUAGAUAUUAGGAGGAACACCAAUGGCGUAGGCAGGUUUCUGGAUCAUUGCUGACACUGAGGCACGAAAGCGUGGGGAGCGAACGGG
rnacentral:misc_RNA from 1 species